GCUAACCUCUUCCUCUGUUCUGUGACAGGGGCACAGUACCACAAGCGUAGCUUGACCUUGUACCUAGGAGUGCAUGUAAAAGAAAUGAAGACUCAAGACAAACAACAAAGACUAGGUGUCUUUAAGUUGAAAGAAUUAUCUGAGCCAAGAAAGGGCAUUUGAGGAGCUGGAAUACUUUCAUACCAGGCACAGAUAUAAUUCCAGCUCCAAAGAAAAGGUUUGAAUGUGAGUGUUGCAGGAAGAUAUUUGCACUGUUUCUAGGAAUUUAUUCUCUGGCAGCUAGGUGAGGAAGAAGAGGAAGUGUUAUUUAUUACAUAGCCAUCUGUAGUCCUUGACUGGAAUUCCACAUCUCCUAUUGCAUCACCAUUCUCUGUACCCACAAGGAAGAGGAAGCUACUGUCAGAACUUGGAGCAGCUGAAGUGUUAAGCAUUUCCUCCCACCUUACUUUGGUUUAUCCUUGAUGUUCCUUUGCUUGGUAUUUCGUGAUCCUGGUAUAGCCCUGGACAUAGAGACCUCUAGGACUUCAGUGGCAAGGUGAAACAAUAGCAUACCAAACUAUGGCAUAAGUUUGAGAAGAUUUUUUCAGGGACUGAAGCCACUGAUUAACUGAGCUGCUUUUUUUCUGCUGUCUGUCCUUUAUGUGCUUCUCUUUGGUUUAAAAGGGAGGAGGGGACAGUGGGCUUUAACAGCAGCUUCUGAAAUUGGCUUUCUUCUUUCUAGCAAGUACAGGUGAUACGUCUCCAAUAUCUCCUAAGAGCACAUUGAUCGUUUUCUAUUUGGAAGCUUUUAUAUAAUAACACUCUGUUACUGAAGACAAGCUCAGAUUUGUUUAUUGAGUCACCAUCUGCCAGAAGAGGGUCUCAGAUGUUCUCCAUGAUGACAAGAGUACAGAGCCAGUCCCACUGCACAUGGACCCCCCUGCUACCCAGAACCAGCUGGGGUUCUCUUUCCAAGCAUGACAUCUGAAGCACUGCUCAGUUUCUCAAGGACCCCAGCAAGGCAAAAAUGUCUCACACAAUAGGAAUGCAGAGAAAUGAUGGGUUGGAAUAAAUCAGGAAUUGACUUAGUUGUUCUCGUUUCAACCAGAUACAGAAAAGUUCCUCCAUGGGCAGUUAUUAGCAGCCUAUACACUAACAAAUGUUCUUCCUAGUGUUCUUGUUAAAAUUAAAAUAAAUAAAUAAUUGUUGUUUUAAAAUAGAUAACCUCCCAUGUUUAAAGCAAAAGUUCCAACCUUGUAAUCUUCCCUUCCUAGCUUUUAACUUGUGAUCUUUCACCUCCUUUAUACUGGUACCACUACUGCUCACCAGCUACAUCAGUGAGUUAUCUGGGUAAGAACUGGCAUGGGGUAACGUCAUGUGGGAGAUGGCAGGAAUGCCAAUGCUGGAGGAAGGCGGGAUGUCCCUCUUCCAUUCCUUGGUCAUUAUCCAGACAUAUUGGAUUAAAUCCAUGGUAAAACCUCAGCCUGGCAUUUGAUGAAGGGUGCAGGAUGUUCAGGAUCCACUGCUUUGGGAUGCAGGGACUGCAGGGUGGACUCAAACGGUUCUCAGUGAUCAAAGAUUGCAGUGUUAAAACCAACAGGCGACAUGACAGCCAUACAUCAUAUUAGCAAAAGAGCACUUCCAUGUGCUCUGCUGGGAGGCAAUGGUUCUGUGGGACACAUGCCAGGUGCUUCAAGAGCAUCCUGUAGCCAUAUAUCUGGCAGGGCAGGCAGAAGGAACGUGCUAAGCAGUAGCCUCACUCGCAGACUUCUGAAAUGACAAAUAUUCCUUAAAGGAGUCCAUUAAAAUAAAAUAAUGCCCUUUCAAUGUACAUAGGGAACAUAUAUAACAAAAUAUAUGAAGUACCUGUGUAUUUUCUCUAUUUGAUACCUGAAUCCAUGAGAAUAGGGGAUAAGGUACUUUCAGAACUGUAGAAUGGUAGAUAGUAGACAACAAAUUGUCUCAAAACACACUGAGAUAUGUUUGUAUUCCAAGUGAUGUGUGCCAGAUAUUGGGCAACAAAGUACGUGUUUUUGUGGAGAUGUGACCCAGCUGGUCUGUUGAGCCUUUGGUAAUGCACUUCAUGCUACUUGAGACUAUAUAGUGCUUCUAACCAUCCUCCCAGGGCAGUUUUCUCCUGCGACUCCACAGCCUUUGGGAGUUGCAUGGCCACAGCAAACAAGUGGAAGUAAGGAGCUUUCAUCCAACAGUGCCUGUUUUUCAAUCAACUCAAAAUCCACCAAAGUGCUUGAGUGGAAGGAGGACAGUCAGGAAAGCAAAAGAGUAUCUGGAGUUGUGAGUGCUGAAGUGUGCCUGGAGGCAGGGGUUAAAGGCAGCUGGAGGAGCAAAGAAACGCAGAGGGAAUAUGGAAUAGAAAAGUGCAUCAAAGCCUGGGUGAGUGAGUUAUGUCCUGAAGUGGUGUGUUUUGAUGGCCCGGUGUUGUUGAGCUAGUUGGAGAUGAGCACAGCACUGUACUCUUCAACAAAAGAGAUGAGAGUGGAUCAGGAGCAGACCUCUGUAUCCUGCUAACAGACUGGUCUAUGGAAGGGAGGCAAGCUCCUUGAUACAUGUAACCCUAAGCCAAGUGUGUUCCAUGGUUUUAGAAUUGUGGGUUAGGAGAACGAUAGAGUAACAGUAGCUAAAAUCACCCAGGUAAAGACAACUCUUCAGGGGUAAAUGAUGGCUGGUAUGGAGAGAUAAAAGAGCUGGACUGCAAGGAGAGAGGAGAACGGAGAACAGAGUUUUCAUUUCCAGCUCAGCUGGUCUUGUUGUAGUUUGAGCGCACGCUUAGGGUUUCUUGCUGUGCUCCAUAACUGGUGAAGCUGGGGGAGAUAGGAAGGGUCCCACCAGCACAGGAUGGUGCUGGAACAGAUGGAGCAGUCUGAUUCUUCCAUCAGGCUGGUGACAGUGCUCUCUGGAAGGUACCGUGCUCGCCUGUCGGGAUCCCUGAAGAUAAUAGGCUCUGUGCUCUCCAGAGAUGGACCGCUGCAAACGAGUCAUCUGGAACUAAUGGGUUUUGUGCCUUUGAUUGGACUGUGCUUUUCUGUAUACCUCCUUUGUCAGCCUAAAGGUCUGCUGAGAUCCAAACCAUGCUGUAAUUAUUUCCACACACAACAGCAAAGGUUGCUCUUUAAGCCGAAAUUUUGUCUGAUGUAUCUUCCCAGGAAAAUAAGCUUGAAUAAUUACUGGUUUUUAACAGUAAAAAGAUGUAACUUGUGUUUCGGAGGAUUAAAAUCUACAACCUUAUCUAAAUACAGAAAGAACAGCUGGCAAAAUGGAGUUUCUUUCUACAACUUAAACAGAAUCUGUCCUCCCCAAGCCUGGUUGGUUCUCAGCCUGCGUACACCUGUGUUAAUUUAAUAUGGUUCUUCAGUGGACGACGUUUGAGAGCAAGAAGGCACCAGUUCUGUCUCCUCUCUCUGUAUGGAUUCUCCCCUCGUUGUCUCAGCAGACAACACUUUGGCUUGCAGCCUUGGAGGAUGAUAUUUAGUACAGUGACUGUCGGAGGAGUGGGAUUUGUGGUGACUGGGAUUUUUGAAGCAGGUCUAAAUCCUGCUGGCUUGCAAAGAGAGUAAAUUCUAAAGGGUCACAAAUGCUGAUACCACUUGGGAGCUUCCGCCAUCUUACCAGACUUGAAACUGUGAGAACAGUUAUAGGAAUCAGCUUUGAAAUGACCAAAGGUAUCAGCUUGUCCUCCAUUAGAAAUAAUUUCUAGGCCUUGGGCUGCACCCAGAAAAAUAAAAAUAAUCUGAAGAGAUUUUAAUUAUAUCUCCACUAGUAAUAAAGCAGCUUUUUCCUCCAAAUUAAUAUGAUCGAUGUCUGUAUGCUAUUGAGAAAUGAGGGAUGUCCUUCUCAAAUAGUAUAAAGUGCACACUUUUGUCAGUUUCUUCUAAAAAUAAUAAUAAUAAUAAGAAGAAAGGGAUUGCUGUCUUUCUGGGCUAGAAACUAUUUGUUCCUCUUAAAAAGCCUUUAUAAGUGUGAGCUGUCUGCCGUCACUCAGAACAGGGAAGCUGGUGCCUGGAGUAUCUGCACCUUUCAUGUCUGUGAGGGAACGAAAGAGCUUUGUGCAGAGAGGAAUUUCAGUCUGAAUCACAGACUGUAGUUUUGUUGGAAAUGGAAGAGUAGAUGCAGUGAAAAACUGAAGAGGGAAGUGUCUCGAACUCCAAAAUUCCUGCACUUCCUAUUAAUAGAUCUGUGUUUAAAAUAAUGUGAAAAAGUAAAUCUCUCUAAGGCAUUGAAUCAUGUGCAUUCCCACGAGUGCUCAGCAUGUGUCUGUGCUCCACAUCUCUCAUCAGACACUGUCCCUCCCAUGUUGGCUCCAGGCUUGCACUGCAGCAGGAACCUCAGUGGCUUUGGGGAUUGAUAGCUGACCUGGUGGUUCAUGAAACAUUUGUGUUCUCCAUACUUUAUUAGUCACUGACAGACUCAUUGUUUAUAACAUACUUCUCAGCAAGCUGUUUGCGACUCAUCGCCCUGCUUGCUUUAUAGUCUAUAAAUAUUUAAUUCUUUAAUAAACAGCUUAUAUGUAAUAUCAAAUGACUGAUGCACUUCUUUCCACUCUUCAGCAGUGCUACUAUUUGCAAAACAAUCUAUUUUUUUUCUUUCUUUUUGAAUAUCAAUAUGUUUCAUAAAUUCUUGAAUUUCCUUUUCUAAACAGCCAUUUCUUCAGGGUGCUUGGUACAAUGACAAGCAGAGCAAUGGUUCCUGUGGCAUUAUAAUAGCUGCCCCUUUCUAAAGUCUCCAUGGGGAGAUUCACUUCACAGUGGUCACAGAUUUGCAAUCAGGAGUAGUUUGAAACAGCAGCAGUCAUAUUUCACAGCUGUGCAUGUUAAAGAGCAGCAGCAGCCUGCACGGCCAGAACAGCCCUGCAGAAGCUGUGUGAGAGCAUCCCUGGUAGUAUGCAGAGCAGUGUGGGCAUCUCAGAGUAUCACUGCCUCUUGCUGCGAGCUGCAUCACCACUCCUCUGCUUCACACACAUUGCUUAUAUGGUACAACCUGUGCUUCUUUUCCCAUCUGUAAUCUUCUUCCUGCUACCUAUAGAAAGAGUCGCUGAUGGGAUCCACUGCGCUGGGGUCAGAAAGCCAUUGGUAUGGGUGGGUGAGGCGGAGGUGAUCUGCUUGGGUCACUGCGGCUCAUGGCAGCAGCUCAGUGCCUUGCAGCAGACAGGCUCUAGGGUACUCUCUGAGGUCUGGCUGGCUGCCAUACCAGUUGCAUUUUGUCUGGAUGGUAACGUGUCUCAGUAGGGCCUUCAAGAGUGUUGUGUGGUCAUGGACGGGAUAUUCAUAUCUAACCCUAAGUCAGGCUGAUGGUCAGACUUCCCUUGUGCCUUGAAUUUUUGCACUUUUUCAACUUUGAGCAGAGAGAGGCUGGAUUUAGGAUUCCUGCCUAGAGGUGGUAUUGGUGUCCUGUUUUUGUUCGGAGCUGGCAGACUUGCCUUGUGCUCAGAUUCCCAGGUGGCUUUACAGAAGGGUGUGUGCGUGUGCAUUACAAAUGCAUCUGUGGAGAUGCAGGAAGGAACUUGAUUCGGAGAACUAAUAGAUGAGAUCAUAGUUAUGAAUCUUCAGGCAUUGGGCAGCAGUCCCUCUUUGCUAUGGGCCACUGCAUCCUCUGCCCAUUAGUCCUUAGAUGAGAGCCUUAUCCUUCUGUUCAAGGUUCUUGGUGCUCUUUUAGUGAUAGAGCCUGCUUGAAGACCUGGUAGCUGUUUGCUCAGGACUCCACAGCCUGCUUUGAACAGAUGCUCAUACCAUAUCCUUGUCAGACACUAUUAAAAGGCAGAGAAACAACCCCGGUCUGGCAGCUGGGGAUCUGCUCAGUAGUGUUUCUAGUUAUUGGCAGCAUCUGCAUGUGCCCACAGGAUGGAAGGAGAGGACAGCUCCUCUGAGAACAGGUCCCACCUGCAAGUCUUUAUUUUCCAUCCUGCCUGUUCUCUUCUUGUGUUUAAAGCCAUGGUCCUUCUCUGGAGAUAAGGCUGGCAGCAGUAUGAGCCUUUCUUACACCAUGGGCGUUGUAGAGGCUGAUUCAGGAUCUGUGCACAGCGGGCACACAAGCAGGUUUUUCUAAUGUCCUUCGCUAAUGUCACUACGCUGCAAUGAGGGCGUUGCUGUUCUGUGAUGGCCCAUUAAAUCUUUGUUAACCCUAAGUACAUACAAGACCCUGAUCCAAAAAAGCAUUCCUAGCAGAGCACAGAGCAGCCAAGAGGUUCUUCUCCAUACACACACAUUUGUGUGUUAAAAAUAUCAAGUGAUAACAAUUCCCGUUCUGAGGAAGAAGCAGGUGAGAGAGGAUCACAGAAUCACAGAAUGGCUUAGACUGGAAGGGACCUUAAAGAUCACGUAGUCCCAAUGCACCUGCUGUGGGCAGAUCAGGCUGCCCAGGGCCCCAUCCCUGGCCUUGGGCUUCUCCAAGGAUGGGGCAUUCACAGCCCUCCGGGCAGCCUGUGCCAGGGCUUCACCACCUCUGGGUAGAAAUUUUUUUCCCAACAGCUGAUCUAACUCUCCACUCUUUUAGUUUAAAGCCAUUCACCAUUGUCCUACCACUCUCCUGUUGAUAAGCUCCCCUCAAGUACUAGGAGGUUGCAAUGAGGUCUCCCCAGUCUUCUUUUCUCCAGCCUGAAGAAGCAUUGUUCCCACAGCCUAUCUUCAUAGGAGACAUUCUCCAUCCUCUGAUAAUCUUUGUGGCCCUCCUCUGAAGCUGCUCCAACAGUUCCACAUCCUUCUUGUGCUGGGAGCCCCAGGCCUGUAUACAGUGCUCCAGAUGGGGUCCCACAAGAGCAGAGCGGAGGGGACAAUCCCCUCCCUGCCCCACUGCCAUUCCUCUGCUGAUACAGCCCAGGAACCAGGAAUCACUAUCUGCCAGGUCUGUCCCACCUUCAGUAUCCUGGUGGCACAUGUGGCUGGGAGCAGCCCACUCCCAGACUGUCAUCCCUGUGCUGGAGGCACAGAGCAGUGGGCAGGGCAUGGGCACUGCAUCACUUGUACUGUCCCUGAAGCAAUGCACAGAAGCCUGCCUUGAGCCAGCAACAGCAUCUAAACACUAACACGCACUGCCGUGUUGUCACUUUACCCACAAGGCUGUCAUUGAGCUCCUCCUUUGUUACUGAAGCAUGGCACUUAACACAUUCUCCCUCCAGUUCCUCUUCCUGUCCCCCUCCCACCGUGUAUAUCACUGAAAUUUCUGAAUGGAAGCAGGGAAUGGUGUAGGCACUGAGCUCCUGGUCCUCAAAGAGUCUCCAGGCAGUGAGCAUGACUGGUGCCCCAGCUUAAGUAUGAGUAAUGAUAAAUAAGUAAAUCACGCAGUGGGCUGUGCUAUUCCCUAAUGAGCCUGUUUGUCCCAAGCGCUGUGCAGAAAACACUCUUCUCCUUGGCAAUAACCUUUCUGCAUAUUAACAUUAUGCAUGUAUUCAUGUGACUUCCUCUGCUUCACCACCACCUCCUUCAACUGAUUUAAAUAAAAAUAAUUUAUGUGGACAUUCCUUCAGUCAGGAUUCCCCCCCCCCCCCCCCCCCCAAUAAUAUAUCGUUGAUGCUGUGCACCCAAAUGGGGUCGUUAUGCCUUUGCAUAUCAUUAUAAAGAAUUAUAAAGAACAACAGCGACAUCUGCAUGUGCUGCAGCGCUACAGAGAUGGGCAAAAAUAGAGAAAACAAACCCCAAAUGAGCUCUGAGCUUGUCUGGCUCUGUCUUUCCUCAGUGCCUUUGCCACUACCAUGGACGAAAGUAAUUGUACAGUGUAAUCACAUCACAGCUCAUCUGAAUAUUCAUAGCCGAGACAAAGACUUGGAGAAGAAACGUGGGGGAGGGAGAAGGAGGAAAAUUUAAAUAUAAAACAGCAUUUCAUUUUGAAGCAAAGUUCUGCAUUCAGCUCAAGAGAUCGUCUCGAUAUUGAUAUUGUCUAUCUUUCUGCCAUUCAAGACCAGCGGGCAGCAUAGCAUCGCGCGGGCAGCCCCCUCCAUUGGGAAAGAAAAUAAAGCAAAACAACAAACAGCGGUAGAAAUGCCCCCAGCAAAAAUGAUAUUUGAAGAGUCGCCAACAGUGGCUAACCAGCUGCUGUUUUACCACAGAAGAAACAGUCUAUUGAGGGAGCUUUAUAAAGACCCCAAUUAAUAUGUUGUGCAUGUAUAAGACCUACAAAGAGCCCACUGUGUUCCUCCCCCCGCAACCACCACCACCUCAUUCCUAUCGGUGCCGGUGGAGAAGGAUCUGAACUACCAAAUAAUUGAUUAAUCUCUUCGGCAGUGACAACACCCCUCUCCAAAAUAAAGAGAGAAGAAAAACAAACACAAGAGGCAAUUGCUUGCUAAUUAAUGCAUAAAUUACCGCUGGUUCCAUCCUCCUUUUUAUCUUCAAAAAAAAAAAAAAAAAAACAGAAAAGCAAGAGAAAGAGAAAUAUAAUCCCCAUCUUAAUGUAUAUGUUGUCUUCAUUUCUUUUGUUUUACUCUGGUAUCCUUUACUAAUAUUAACCAAGAAAUGUGGUGUUUGUUGAAGCCGCAGCUGGCUCUGCCAGUCUGUUCCCCAAAGAGCUCCUAUUUCCAUUCCACUGGAGCUUAUAUUCCUUUAAAUGUCUAGCGCAGCAUCGUUUACCCCUUUCUAAUACAUCACUCUGCUGAAAUUAGAAGAAUCCAAGGUUAUAUCCAACUUCAAAGGUUUCCAAGUCACCAUGAUUUUAGGAAAAGUAGAAGACAGACCAUGGAACAAGUCCCUGCUUUUGAAGAUAGGCAUCACAGGGACCUUCCUCCCUCUGCCUCUUUCUCGCUCUCCCUCUCUCUCCCCCCAACUUUGUACCUCUCCAGCUCUGAACGUCCUGUGCUAAUGCAGUUUAAUGAUAUGCAAAUGAAAUAUGCAUAAAACCAUUCUACUGUAUGAUGAUUAAACACUGGAGACAUUAACAGCCGACACUCCGCUGUUUGACUAUAAUAAUCUUUCCCGAAUAUCCACUUUGAUUGCGGAGUUAUGGAAACCCAUAGCAGUUGGCAGAGAGAGAGGGAAGGGAAGGAAGGAGAGAUGCGGGGACACAUCACCCAUCUCUGCAUUUAUCCCACUCCAGGAGACGUUUCCCCCCCUUUGUACUGCGUUCCUACUGCUGUCUUUUGUAAUCCAUCCAUGCGGUCGCACCAGGGCGAUUAACGGGAAAAAAACCCUCUUUUCUCUUAAUGUUUCAAAGCUCAUUAGCCAAACGAUUAUUCCUCAUUAACAGCGAAAGCUCAUUCAUUAACAGAAAAAAUAUGCCCAAAAGAUGCCAGCGCUGUUAAUCCCGAGCCCUGUAGCUGGGCUGUAAAUCCCAUGCUAGUAUUUUCCACGCAGAGGGGAAUCGCGCCAAUCCACAAAAAAAAAAAAAAAAAAAAAAAAAAAAAAAAAGGAACAGCAAGAAGAAAACAUUUUGUGUGUUUUGUAAAAUCCGCAAGAGAGGCAAUUAAUAUUCCCGCUGUGUGACUUUAUUUUUUGUCUCUCCCUUUUGUUUCCAGUGCCCUUCCCUGGCUCAGCGCCCGGUGCCAACAGAACACCUUGCAGGAUCCUCAGCAGCGCAGACAACACAACGUAAGUAGCCAGCUGUCCCUUGACGCCCUCUUCCAAAAGCCCUCCGGCCCCUGCAGAGUGUGUGCGGCUCUUUCCCUCGCUCACCCUCCGGAGUGCCACCUGGGUUUCACAAGUAGCACCUUCCAAAUCUCUCUGUCUUCAAGUUUGUGCAUGUCUGUGUGGCAUCCCUCCUCCUCCUUCACUCCUAUAGUGGAUCUUGCAAAGGGCUUCAGAUCGGCCCCAUUCAUCUCCCUGGUGAUAGCAGUGAAUGUAGAUAAAUCUCUGACUGCCUGCUUGCUGCUGGAGUAUGAUUUUUAUUUUGUCUUCCGUGUAUACCUAGGUCAAAAAGUGGGAUGUAUGCUCACACUGUGUGGAUGCGUGUGUGUGUGAAUUUGUCUCUCCCAAGCACACAAACGUACAUCUCCUCACACGUGUAUGUACGCAUAUUACAUGCGUGCACACAGAUAUAUAUCCCCGCACAUGUAUGUGUGCACACAGUACACACACAUCUCCGCACACACGCACACACACUCAUACUUCUAAUCUGCAAUUAUCUGAGGCAUUGUGUGCAUGUGUGUAUGUGUGUCCACACGCACACUGCUCUGUGUGUAUGUGCAUACACAGGCAUCUCGCUAUCUACAAACAUUCCCUCUCCUCCCAGCAGAGGCUGUGUGCAGCUGUGAUCCUGCCCUAUGAGAGCGGUAUUCCUUCCUUCCCUCGGCGUGCUGUUUGGAGACCUUCGUGCUCCCCUCUCGGGUCCCUCCCGAGCUGCAGGGCUGGCACCUCUCCCUCAGCUUGUCCGAAUGGCGAAUGGCACUGUCCGUCGCCCGCGUUGGUACAGCCUCAGAUGGCACUUCUCUCUGGAUGUCGGCUGCUCCCUUUUGUUUGUUGUUGCCCAAUCUGGGUGUGGUGGGGCUUUUUUUGGAGUUAAUUGUAAAUGAACCUGAAUGGCAAACACAUCAACAGCUUGCGAAAAAAGAGAAAAGAGAAAAAAAAAAAAAAAGAAAGCCCCUCACAAACGCCUUCUGCUGCGACAGAUGCCCAUGUUGCCCCUGGCACGGCGAGCGGGCACGAGGGGGUUGUUGCCAAGCCUUUUUCUUUUGCCGUUUUUAUUGUCCGCGUUGCCGAUUUCCCUUUAUUUUUGAAGCCUCCAAGAUGCCGGCCUCGGCAUGGAGCGGCGCGGUGUCAUGGCGGAGACGACGGCCUUUGUCUCGCGGGGUGUGAAAGCAUCCGUUGUGCUGGCUCCACUGCGGCAGAAUGACGUUCAAGGGGGAAACGUGCUGGAAGCCGGCGUGCUGUGCCCAUAGCCGAGCGUGUCCAAGGCAGGGCUGGCGGCGGAGAGCCUCGUCUGUAAUCCUGGCACUUGCGCCUCUGCUCGCUGCGCGCCGCUUGCUCCUGGGGGUCUGGAUAAUCUCCCUUAGCGUUACCGCACUGUCUGGCCCGCGCACAGGGCCCCCGUAACAUAUACCCGCUGCCGUUAUCACACGGAACUGUGGCGUUGCCACUGAAUGGAUGGCACUGUGCCAACUCUUCUGCCAUCCGCCCUUGCAGCUUUUUUUUCUUCCCUCCUCCCUCCCUCUCUCCCCUCCUCCUCCUCCUCCCGUCGACUUGACGUUAAUUAACACACGGGUUAAUUGAUUUUAAAAGCUGAAGAAUUACAGUUAACUUUUCCCACAGGGUACAGCCGCCUGGCACGGCGCUGCCGCUCGUGCGGUGCAGGGGGGCAGGGAUGCGCCCACAGCAGAGCUGGGUGGCUGCAGAGGCUCUGUCUUUGGAGCACGGCGGAAGGAAGCUGAUGUGCGCCCGUCUCAUCCUUCCCAAGAUGUCACCAUCGUGUUUUGCGACAAACAGUCCCAAUGCUCCCUCCCCUCUGCGCUCAAUGGCUGCACGGGCUCUGCUGGAGGGGCAGCAGGAGGGCAGCUCGGCCGCGUGGCGGGGCUCCCAUCCGCGCAAGCUGGAGGUGCUGGGGCGGGGAGCCUGGGGAACGCUGCCCUUUUCUGCUUAUCCUGUUUUCCAGGGCAUUUUUUGUUUCCUCGGUUGGCUCCGAUAUGUCACUUGGGGUGAAGAAUCUCAACCAGGGGAAAGUUAGAUGGUCGUAAUUACAGGCGAAAUACACCAUGUGAGGGCUUUGUUUUUUCGCUUUCGCUCUCCCUCGCCCCGGUCUCUGCUGGUGAAUGACGGUGCGGUUGGGAGGAGACGCGGCGGGGCUGGGAACUCAUCGCUUCCACCUUCUUGUGCUUUCAUUUUAUUUCAUUUUGUUUUUUAAAAGCAUGAAGCAAGUGAAGCGACGAGAGGAAUCCAUUAUGCAAAUCAGGUCACAUUUGCAUAAUGUCUCAUGACUGGAAUAUGCAAAUGAGUUGUAUAAUUUAUGAGUGCCAGUGUCUGUCUAAAAGUGUUUCCCAGAAUUUAUAAAAAGUGAGACGUGGGGAGGGCAGCUGGGCUCGCUGCCCUGCCAGGAGGGCUCUGCGCUUUCUUUUCAAAGUCUUCCUUCAGACCAGCAGCUGAAAUGCUCCUUAAUGAGAAGCCAGCCACCCCUUCCACACUGUCCCCCUCGUUUUCUUUUCUAUUUCUCACUCUGCCAAGCCUGGACCUGCUCGCUCUGAACUUCUUCAGGAGGCGAUGGACCUGCACGCUGGACCAGGACUCUAAAGCCAUGCACCUCUGGGCAGUCUGCUCCAUCCCUGCAUCCGUCUGGGCACUCUGGCACUUCCCGGCAGGGAGGCUGUGCCUUUCAGGCGUGCUGGCUCCAUGGGCAUGGUGUGCAAGGAAUGGGUGUAGGUGUUUGCUUCCCACAGCAUGGUGGAACUGCUGCUCAUUCAGAACACACCGCAACCUGUGCCUAGAGACCCACCUUGACCCUACAAAGAGCAGCAAGGUCUGCGCAGGGCUGGCAGUGCCCCUGAAGAGCAACCUUGAGCUUCCUGCCCUGAGCAGACAGGAGCUAUUUCAGCACUGAAAAGGUCUCUGGAACAUGCUGGAAAUGCAGGACAAGAGCCAAGAUCGAUCUAGUUUAUGUUCACUCUGCAUAUUUGGAGAUCUCAGGAGCAUCAGGAGAACACAGAUGUGUAUGCCUGGAGAGUACAGGUCUUGACUCCAGCAGUGUGUGUCAUAAUGAACUUCUCCAGUAUAACGAAAUGAUUUCAUAACCUGUGCACUUACCUGCAACUGUGGGAUUCCUGGUGUGGGGAUACAAAAGGAGCCUCAGCAUUAGGUACAGAGAAGGCAAAACUGGCACGUCUUCUAUCAUGACAUGCAAAGCAUGUGGCAUGCAGCACAUCUAGACUAUAAAGUGUGUUCUGCUUAUGAUUGCUGCACUUUGGUGCCUUUUUCUUGUACUGAAGAAGCACCGGUCCAAUUAUUGCACUGGGCUGCAAUUAGCGGAUGGGUAGCUGAGUCUGGUGUGGAGCUUGUGCAAAGCACUGGCUCAGGGCCACCAGGAAUACCUGGAGUGUCUGG
rnacentral:lncRNA from 1 species